CCUACGGGCGGCAGCAGUCGAGAAUCUUUCACAAUGGGCGAUACCCUGAUGGUGCGACGCCGCGUGGGGGAAUGAAGGUCUUUGGAUUGUAAACCUCUGUUAUGUGGGAGCAAAUUAAAAAGUUAGUACCACAAUAGGAAGAGACGGCUAACUCUGUGCCAGCAACUGCGGUAAUACAGAGGUCUCAAGAGUGGUUCGGAUUCACUGGGCGUAAAGCGUGCGUAUGCUGUUUCGUAAGUCGUGUGUGAAAGGGGUGGGCUCAACCCUCGGACGGCACAUGAUACUGGGAGACUAGAGUAAUGGAGAGGGAAGCGGAAUGCGCGGUGUAGCAGUGAAAUGCGUAGAUAUCGAGAGGAACACUCGUGGCGAAGGCAGGUUCCUGGACAUUAACUGACGCUGAGGCACGAAGGCGAGGGGAGCGAAAGGGAUUAGAUACCCUUGUAGUC
rnacentral:rRNA from 1 species